rnacentral:rRNA from 1 species
AUGAACGCUAGCGACAGGCUUAACACAUGCAAGUCGAGGGGCAGCAUAAAAGUAGCAAUACUUUGGUGGCGACCGGCGCACGGGUGAGUAACGCGUAUGCAACCUGCCUUCAGCAGGGGGAUAGCCCGUUGAAAGACGGAUUAAUACCCCGUAACACAGGGGCUCCGCAUGGAGAUUAUUGUUAAAGGGAUGCUUCCUUCGGGGGUAUUCCGGCUGAAGAUGGGCAUGCGUUCCAUUAGGUAGUUGGUUGAGGUAACGGCUCACCAAGCCUACGAUGGAUAGGGGAACUGAGAGGUUGGUCCCCCACACUGGUACUGAGACACGGACCAGACUCCUACGGGAGGCAGCAGUGAGGAAUCUUGGUCAAUGGACGGAAGUCUGAACCAGCCAUGUCGCGUGAAGGAGGACGGCCCUAAGGGUUGUAAACUUCUUUUGCAGCGGAAUAAAGUAUUCCACGUGAUGGGAUAUUGCAAGUACGCUGCGAAUAAGGAUCGGCUAACUCCGUG